GGGUCAGCUUUUACUCGGCGGCCUGGAUCGGGCCGCUGUGACAUUUCUCCUUGCUCCUGGGGACACUGCUCUGAGGUACAUUCGACAAGGGCACUUGGGACAACGUUAGGCGUUGCUUUCACAUCCUGCUUGCCUUUAACUCUAUGCCCUGUACCCACCGGAUUUCGGUAAGAUUUCCGUAUCAUCCUUUUUUGGGCCUCUGCUCACAGAGGGACUACGACCACCUAAGACAACCACGUGACCAGCUGGUGCAGGGAGACGGCUUGUGUGUCCCUGUGUCGCGGGGGAGGGCUGACGCCCACGCGGACGGGAGACUCCUUACAGAAUCACCCAAGUCGCUCUGCGUCAGUGGCAUAGGCAGACUUCAGCGUAAACAGAAGCAGGUCUUUCUUGUGACACAGCCCACAGCCAGCACCUGCACAGCCCGGGAGCCUGAGGCAGGUCUACACUGCAGGGGUGCUACACAAAUCACUUUUGUUCUCCCCAAAAAGAGCCGUCACCGGUCCCAGUGCUGCGUUCCCAGGCUGCUCCGAGCUCAGAGCAGAGGGAGUCUGACAAGCACGUGAGGCUCGAAUACGCCUGACUCACUGCAUCUGUGCAGACGGGAUCUCUAACUGCUGAAUGAGCUGCACACUUUCUC